GACGAACCGAGCGAACGUUGUUCGGAAUCACUUGGCUUAAAGGGCGCGUAGGCGGGCUGUCAAGUCUGGGGUGAAAUCCCACGGCUCAACCGUGGAACUGCCUUAGAUACUGACGGCCUCGAGGGAGAUAGGGGCGAGCGGAACUGUGAGUGGAGCGGUGAAAUGCGUUGAUAUUCACAGGAACUCCGGUGGCGAAGGCGGCUCGCUGGAUCUUUUCUGACGCUGAGGCGCGAAAGCUAGGGGAGCAAACGGG
rnacentral:rRNA from 1 species